GACGAACGCUGGCGGCGUGCUUAACACAUGCAAGUCGAACGGAAAGGCCUGCUUUCCCUUGUGGAUUGCGGGUACUCGAGUGGCGAACGGGUAAGUAACACGUGAGUGAUCUGCCCCCAACUUGGGUAUAAGCCUGGGAAACUGGGUCUAAUUCCCGAUAGGACUGCAGGGUGGUGCCUGUGGUGGAAAACGAUUUUCUAGUGGUGGGGGAUGAGCUCGCGGCCUAUCAGCUUGUUGGUGGGGUAAUGGCCUACCAAGGCGGCGACGGGUAGCCGGACUGGGAGGGUGGACGGCCACAUUGGGACUGAGAUACGGCCCAGGCUCCUACGGUAGGCAGCAGUUGGGAAUAUUGCAUGAUGGGCGGAAGCCUGCUGCAGCAACGCCGCGUGGGGGAUGUCGGCCUUCGUGUUGUAAUCUCCUUUCGGCCGCGAGGAAGCCACCUGGUUGGAAGGGUGGUGACGGUAGUGGUAGAAGAAGCACCGGCUAACUACGUG
rnacentral:rRNA from 1 species